CAACUCAAAUCUUACAACACUUUCAUAAAUCCAGUCUUCAAAUGAUUAGCCAUGGCUGCAAAUAAAGAUCUCCAAGAGCUGUAAGAAGCAAAGAACACUUAACAACCAAACAAUUUUGUUGUUUUUAUUGCUGAGAGUUCCAUAAAAAGGCAAAGGUCACAAAUAAGAUAAAAACUCAUGUAGAUAUGCAGGUCUGCUUGGUAUUAUAAUUAAAUAAGAACAACAUAGCUCAAAGACAAAGUUUCACAGAAAUUGUUCACAUAGCAUUUGAUGAGUCUGAGUAAUAUUCAACUAUGAAACUUUUUUUUUUUUUUUUUUUUUUUUGUUACUUUU